rnacentral:RNase_P_RNA from 1 species
GAAGUCCGCCAGACCGUCGCUGGCGUCGUGUUUGACGCUGGAGGAAAGUCCGGGCUCCACAGAGCGGGAUGCUGGGUAACGCCCAGCCGUUAUAAGUCGUCGGCGCAAGUCGGCGAUGAAGGCGAGGAACAGGGCCACAGAGACGAGUCGCUUCCGAAGCUGGAAGCGGGUGAAACGCGGCAACCUCCAUCCGGAGCAACACCAAAUAGGCGGACGUCGACGCUGCUCGCCGAGUCCGCGGGUAGGUGGCUAGAGCGCAUCGGUAACGAGGCGCCCAGAGGAAUGACGGCCAUGGCGCUUUGCGGCGCCAACAGAACCCGGCUUAUCGGCGGGCUUCGAUU